UAAAAAGCUCGUAGUUGGAUCUGUGUAUCGGACGGUCGGUUCGCCGCUCGCGGCGUCAAACUGACCGGUCCGAACGUCCUGCCGGUGGGGGCUGCCGGUUUUUGUGUUUAACCACACAGAGGUCGGUGCCUCCGUAACUUCCCUCCGCGCUGCUCUUAACCGAGUGGUUCGGUGGGCCGGCACGUUUACUUUGAACAAAUUUGAGUGCUCAAAGCAGGCCGAUUGUUGCCUGAAAAUUGUGUGCAUGGAAUAAUGGAACAGGACCUUGGUUCUAUUUUGUUGGCUUUUCUGAACUCGAGGUAAUGAUUAACAGGGACAGACGGGGGCAUUCGUAUUGCGACGUUAGAGGUGAAAUUCUUGGAUCGUCGCAAGACGAACCGAUGCGAAAGCGUUUGCCAAGAAUGUUUUCGCUAAUCAAGAACGAAAGUUAGAGGUUCGAAGGCGAUCAGAUACCGCCCUAGUUCUAACCAUAAACGAUGCCAGCCAGCGAUGCGCCGAAGUUCCUCCGAUGACUCGGCGCGCAGCUUCCGGGAAACCAAAGCUUUUGGGUUCCGGGG
rnacentral:rRNA from 2 species